rnacentral:rRNA from 1 species
GAUGAACGCUAGCGGCAGGCUUAAUACAUGCAAGUCGAACGGUAACAGCAGAGUUUACUUUGGCUGACGAGUGGCGAACGGGUGAGUAACGCGUACACAAUCUACCUUUAAGUGAGGGAUAGCCUAUGGAAACGUAGAAUAAUACCUCAUGGUAUUUAAUUAUCGCAUGGUGAUUAGAUUAAAGAUUUAUUGCUUAGAGAUGAGUGUGCGUCCUAUUAGCUAGAUGGUAAGGUAACGGCUUACCAUGGCGACGAUAGGUAGGGGGCGUGAGAGCGUGGACCCCCACACGGGUACUGAGACACGGACCCG